UUUCCGUAGGUGAACCUGCGGAAGGAUCAUUAAUGUGUUUGGGCCUCACGGCUCUUCAUUCCGACGCUGUGCGCCUUCGGGCUGCACGCUGAGGGAGCAUAUAUCCACCCCUGUGCACACACACGGUGGCGAGCUGGGUAACGGCUCGCCGCUGAUCUUUACACACGUCUAAGUUAUUGUAUGUUUAUUUGAGAUAAAAACACAACUUUCAGCAACGGAUCUCUUGGCUCUC
rnacentral:misc_RNA from 1 species